CCAUAGGUGACCGGGCUCCAUGACGUGACGAGUACAUCCAGGCUCAGCUCCUAUUGGCCGCUCUGAACAUCACGACUCAUCCUGAAACCGGAGGGACGUUCUGGCCAAGAUCUUCAGAGGUAAAGACGUGACCUCUGCUGUACUCCCAGCUGAAGAUCUUCUUCGGUGGUGUGACAUGCGCC